rnacentral:misc_RNA from 1 species
GAUGAAGAACGCAGUGAAAUGCGAUAAGUAAUGUGAAUUGCAGAAUUCAGUGAAUCAUCGAGUCUUUGAACGCACAUUGCGCCCCCUGGUAUUCCGGGGGGCAUGCCUGUCCGAGCGUCAUUGCCGCCCUCAAGCACGGCUUGUGUGUUGGGCCCCCGCCCCCCGGCUUCGGGGGGCGGGCCCGAAAGGCAGCGGCGGCACCGCGUCCGGUCCUCGAGCGUAUGGGGCUUCGUCACCCGCUCUGUAGGCCCGGCCGGCGCCCGCCGGCGACCCCAAUCGAUCUUUCCAGGUUGACCUCGGAUCAGGUAGGGAUACCCGCUGAACUUAAGCAUAUCAAUAAGCGGAGGA